UGACACUUUUGUAUGAGUCUGCAGGAUAAAAGUAGUUUGAAACAUGAAACUAAGAAGAGCAGCAAUGCCUAAACUCACCUUGAAAGAUGACGACAUAUGCAGAUACAAAUGUAUUUAAAUAUUUGUAUACAUGGAAAGAAAGCGGAGAUGGUGAACAGCUUAAAAGUUGCAUUAGAUUAGGCUAAGCAGAAGAUAUGCAGAUGGUUUUGUGUCACUUUUGUGUUUUGGAACAUAUUCAAAAAAA
rnacentral:misc_RNA from 1 species